rnacentral:ncRNA from 2 species
CCCCCGACUGCGGGAGAGAUCGCCGGCUCAUCGGGCCCGCGACGCCGAAGGAGCAACCGCCCCCGGAAACUCUCAGGCAAAAGGACCGCAGUCGGUAU